UUCGGGCAGGUGGACGGGUAAUGAUGCCGAUCUUCCUGGGACUUUAACUCGAAGACUUAUGUUUUUCAUGAGAUCGGCAUAUAAUAUCUGAGCUCGUUCGUAUGUAUCGUAAAUCAUAUCUCAAGACGGAGCUUAGCCGGCCUACGAAGUUGAUUUUCCGAACUAUAAGAAUUCCUCUGAAUCGAAAGCUAAGAUAGUGGGGUAGGCGAUAGUGAUGUAAACGUAGAUGAUGAUGUAUUUGGGCGUGUAAAUCCUUUAGGGAUAGCCUUUUAGUCCGUAGUGUUGGUAUUUGUGACAUGCUGUAAUGUGUUUUUCUUUUAAUGAAAGUUUUGUUUUGCGUUCAUACUCGAACUGUUCUUUCUUUAUCAUAACUGAAGUACUUAGAUUGCUUGCUCCGUAACUUUUCCCAAAGGAUCUGCUGUAUUGCUUUCUCCUUCUUGCUCCUUUAAUCGUUUAGAACUAGAGUUUAUUCGGCCAGCUAAGCUUUUGACUUACUUUUUUCCGAGCUGGACUAGUCGUACUCGUGAGCUCUGUUUUAAUCCUGUGAGCCAAGCUCUUGACCUUCUUAGGUAAUAAGCAGGGCUGGUCUUUAUCGUGCUUUCAUCUGCUUAUGUCUUUGAGCUUUUUAUUUAUCUUUUUCCGAGCUGGAUCAGUCGUAACCCUGAGCUCUGCUUUUAACCUAUGAGCCAAGCUUCCGACCUACGUAGGUAAUGAACAAGGCUGGUCUCUAUCAUCGGGUGAGAGGUCUAAGUGGAGCCUGGUCUUACGGUUUGAGCGAGUUGGAUUUGUUCUAUGCAGAUGGCAUGUGGGCUUUUGGGCCUGUCCGUCAAUUGCUUUCGGGUGAUGGGCUAUUGCCGUGGGCCCAACCCUUAAUAGAGGUGGCGAAGUCCAGCGGCCGUCGGUUAUUGCCCCUUUACCUUCGAUUAUUGCCCCUUUACCUUUGAUUAUUGCCCCUUUACCUUCGCGUCAAUUAUUGUAUAACUGAUGAGGGGGUAAACUUCGAGAGUAAUUAAUGACCGCGCCGCUCCAAGACAAAA
rnacentral:lncRNA from 1 species